CUUGUGGGAAAUGAUCCCACUACGGUUGCAGGAAAAACAGCCAAGUGAACCACUAUAUUGUCAACGACCAAGACAUCUCAACAACCUAAUAGAAACAAACAUACUGUACAAAUUCCAGCAUAGUGAAUAUUAUCUCUGUUCUGGAGCUAGAGGGUGUGUUUUGGCCACUGAAGGACUUUUGCAGAAGGAGCAGCCUGAUGGAGCGAGACAUGCUGCAGACACCUCCAGCUGAUCAGCCUCUAAUCUCUUUUUCCUCACCUAUGUCCGCUGCUGAUCAGAUAUCUGCUUCCUCCUGGCUCUCCCUCUGCUCACUUCCAGUCUGGACUGUACACUCCCAUCUACUGCAGCAAGCUUCAUUGCGGUAACGGCUGGGACACAUCCAGCCAGUGCCGCAAUACUCUCAUAUUCUAUUCUCUCUAGUGGAUGUGUGAGUGUGUGUGUGUGCGUGUGUGUGUGUGCGUGUUUGCGUGUGAAUAUACUGUAAGUGUGAGUAAGUGCUUUCUGACUCAAGCUUCAGUGUUCACAGCGCAUAUCUGAGUGCUUUAAAGGCACAACUAACAUUUCCCAUCGUCAUUGUAUCCAUUUACGUAUAUGAACAGAAUAAACAGGCUUAGGCAUAUACCUGUACAGUACAGCAAAUUGUCCAUUAGGGGACACUGCGGCAAGAGACAGGUUAACUUAUAUUCCGCACAAAUACUUAAAAGAAGGAGAAAGCUCAUUUUUGGAAAGUGACUGUUUUUGAAUGGAGGAUUUAACUAAACGGCAUUCUACUGUUCGCAGUGCUUAGGAGAGAAUGCAGUUAUGUGUUAGUGCUUAGUGGAAAAUACAGUUGAGGACAAACACAUUAGAGCAAGAAAAUGAAGCACUCAUGUUGAUUACUCUGACUAGAGAAGGUAAUGUCCCCAGCACAGGCUUAUUGUAGUCUGAUGAUAGCAUUAUACUCAUCACGGCCAGUUGACUUUAUGGCCCCUUGUGGUUUGCAGAGACUGAUAAGGAUGGAUUUCCAUAUUUUUUUACUUUCACUAUCACUUAUUUUCAAUGGUAAAAUUUCAUUAAAAAAAAAGUUCAAAAUCAAACACAGCCCUAUCAGUUUUCACAAUAAAUUUGUCCAGUAGCCUGGUUAUGUUUGAAAUAUGUUUUUGUCCAGUUCAGCAAGAAUCUUGAUAAACCAUACGAUCAAUGACAUUCCAGAUUGGAAAAACUCUUUUAGAGAUGGUUUUGUUAAAACUCCGGCAGUCAAGCAAGAGGGCUUCCUGUUGUAACUUCCCCCUCAUGUGGCUUGGUUUCCUUCCCAGAGUGCCGGUGAAGCACAGACAUCUGUCAAAAAACCGUAAAGGGGGUUCAGAUGUAAUUCAUGGGAAAGAAGAGGAGGAACAAAGGGUUCCUUGGGGUCUAAACUCCACCAAAGCCUGCAUCUGCAAAUGUAUUUACCACAGGUUGAAAUGUGAAGUGUGAAACAUAAUGGAAUGCGUACAGUACCAGUCUCCACACAGGAAGCGGAGGCGAGCGAGAGGGGAGGGGCUAGUGUUUUGGCGGAGGGCUGUUAGACUGAUGCGGAAAGCAAGGAAUGUGACCUUGCACAAAGACAGUGACUCUUGUGCUAUUUUUGGAUAUGCGGCAAAAAGUAGGAUAGGACAGUCUAAAAAAGCAGGAACAGUAAGAGAAAAACAAACAUCAGUCACGAGCUAAUUUGGAUUUGGCUUCAGGCUAGGGGUAUUUUAUUUCAUCUUUCAACCCUCCAAGGUCCUCAAAGGGUAUUUGGGUUUAGCAAUCCAUUUUUGGUGGAUUUCAAAGGAUGGUGAUGGGGCUGCGGUCACAGGAUCAGUGACUCAUGUUGAUAAACAGAAUUAUCACAUCUCUGUAUCCUAAAUGGAGUUGGACAUUGUUUAAAUUUGGACAACUCCGAUUCUGUAAUUGAUUCACAUUGUCAAUUCCAAUUGACGGCGACACAUUUACAUCCUUGAAUAUAGGCUCAAUGGAAAUAUGCAAUAUGUAUCCAUAUAGCCAUAAUUUAAUAAAUAGAUGAAUGUCGUUUCUGCCUGGAUGAGAAAAGCAAGAUAGGACACGUUAUUGUGUCAUAAUUCAAGCUUGAAGGGGAAGUAAAUUGAGGAUAAGGACAGAGCCAGACAAGCCAUCGGCACUAAUUCCAGACUUGACAUUAGAUACAGGAUAUAUUUUUUUUCCGGCAUUCCUUAUAGAAUUUAGAAUAUUUCUGAUGACUCAUCUCAGCCAACUCAUAACAAGUCAAAAUAAUUAAAAAUCCUGCUUCUUAUUUUAGUUCACAACUGAGAUACAAAGUACAAAAUAACGGAUGGUUCUUUUCUGUAUUAUGAUCAAAAUAUUAUAAAUAUAAAAUAAUUUCCAGUGGUUGUAGUGAGACUAAUGACAUGAAAGAAACCAAAACAAAACGUGAGAGCCAGCUCAAAAUAGCAUUUCUUCGUGGCAUAAAGCAAUUGAGGAUGCUUUCGCUUUUUCUUUCCCUUCAGCACUCCUUUCUUCCAUCUAAAAACGAGGUAGUCAUGUCAACCGAGUGUCUAAAGUAAAAGGUGAAGGGUCAGACCACACCUGCUUACUUGCCCGUCAUUGUGUUCUGUUUAUACAUUUCCACUGACUCAUAUUUACAUCAGGACAGCAGGGUGGUGAUAUAAACCUCAGUUACAGCCAAGAUGAAUAUGAAGAUAUCCCAAGAAUCUUUCAAAUGGGUGCUGACAAGCUCAGAGGCAAUUAAAGGCAAGAACCCACAUUCAGUUAUGAAAUAAUGUGCUUCAAGGUGCUGACAGAAUUCUGACAUUAAAAAUACAUUUUUAUAUGGCCAUCAUUCCUUGUGUAAAACAUCUGUCUGACUUGGAAAGAUGAAGCUGAUUUUGAUUGAUUGAUGUUUACUACAGUACACCCUCAUUAUAGAUACAAAUCUGCCACAUCAGGAAACCAUUUUAAAAUAUUUUUCUUGUUAAUUGGAGAUUUCCACAACUGGAUACAGGCCACAUAAAAAAAAAAUGCAAUGUAGUAUGACUAUGGUAGAGACAGGUUUUUCCCCGAAAGGAAGCAUCAGGACAGACGUUGACGCUGACUGAACGCUUGGGUUCACCCACAACAGCAAAGAGGACAUGAAGCAGAACGGCUUUUGGAGCUUCUCGCUGAUCAUUAAAGUGCUUCAGUUGUCAUAGAGAUAUAAAUGAACCAUGAAUGGACAAUUCUCUCAUGGCAGAGCAACGGGAGCCUUUAGGGCAUUGCGUGAGACGUAACUGCCACAAACGUGUCAUUCCCAGGGACUUUAAUGAUGAUACAGAGGGCUCUUUGAAGUACCACAAUGAACACUGGGCUUUGUGCUUAAUCAAGGCCCCCAAAAAUCUCCACUGACUUACAACAUAACCCACCCCCUUCUAUGUACUACCCCAUGCAGCACACGAAAGCGGCACGGUGCUUACAUAACUUGCUUGCAGACUGAUUUAAAUGAAGUAAAAUUAUAGAGAAAAACUUUCGGAAGCUGGCAUCAAAUCUGCAAACUUCAGUUAUCUUAAAAAAGGUUUUGACUUUUGUCUAGAAAGGCUGAUAUGAACGGGGUCUGAACUGACAGCUUCUGCACAUUUUCUGUGAAAGGCUUUCACAGCAAGUGGCAGUAAUUACAAGGCGAGACAGAGCAAUAAUGACUGAGGACUCCCAGCAGGCUUUGCAACAGCAGGGAGCAUUAUGAAAGCCUCGUCCCCAGGUCACACCACCUCGCCUGCUAUGUUUACCAAAGGACUGAGGACACGCGGGGAUAUUUAAUGAACGCUGCUGACCACCACCAGCCGCUUGCCGUCCAUCCAUGUCUGACUGGUUUUGCUGACAGAGUGGAGCCGGAGAGGGAAUGUUCUUAAAUUGGAUUCAUAAAGAAAUCAUUUGACAUAAUGUGAAGACACUGAAGGCUAUUCAGCUGCAAGAAGUCAUAUGGGCUGAUAACUACGGAACAGAUUAUGAAAACAUUCCUUUAGCUGAUGAUUUGUAGCUGCAUUAAGUAGGACAUUGUCUAAAUGUUGUGUAAUUGUAAUUCAACCAACAUUUAGAAGGAAGACUAAGAAGGUUUCAUCCAUCUUAAUGCAUGAUGGCAUGCAAGACAUUCACUUGUAUAUGGAUUUAUUUCUCCUUUGUAAUGUUCUGAUGUGGGUCCAGGUAUUUUUUGUGAUGGACCACACACAGUUAGACACUUCCCUGGACCAGCAAGCAGAAUUGUCAUGAACCUUUUCUAUUGCUGACACCAACGCGCAAAUAGUUGAGUGAGAUUUGACUGGAAUGGAUAAACAGAUGCAGGUCAAAUGUUUUGGGCAUCAGGCUCGACAACCAGUCUGGCUCUUAUCUUGGAAAGGCGACAGGCUAGAUGGUCCGCUAGAUGAGUCUGGGUUCUUAUCAAGACGGACAUCAAGCGAGUCAUCAGACCAGAUCCUGUUCUCCUUCACUCCCUCUUUCCCUCUCUUGCACCACGACGAUUACCGGACAAUGAUAUCAGCAACUGUACUACAAAUGCUCCUCACAUGAGUACAGACUGAGGCACAUCAGGACAAAUGCAGACAAUUGCGUUUUGUCAACAAUAAAGGCAACACUAACGUGUUCUAACAGAUGGGAAACCACACCAAAGGUAUGUGGCUAUACAAAUGCAAGCUGUGUAUCAACACACUAAAAUCACUGACCUGCUUUUGUCCUCUCUGGAACUGCAGAACUCUGAAAACAAGAAGAAAGAAAUUAUGGACUGCAAUCAAAUGCCAUUAACAUUGAUAAACAAAAACUUUGUGUAACUUCAAACACUUUGAGCUAAACGGUUUUAAAUUGUGACACACCUUCAGACUGGACAAUAAAGAAAUGUCCAGCUGUGUCUGUUAUGGCAAAGAUUGCAAACCCUCCUUUAUAAAUAUUGCAUCAUUAGUAUUUCCCAAGUACAGCAAGAUGUGCUUUGAUCCAUUGUUGACUUAAGCAUGACAUACGUGCCCUUGAGAGGUUUGUGCAAUAACAUCUUCAUUCUGGGAAUGUAAUGGUUCAUGCUUGGGCUUGGCCACAAACAAAAUCUGCAUCACCAUAAUGUUGGCACAAGGAAAACUAUUAUGCAGGUAUUCUACGUGUAUUGUCGUUGGCUUUUGUGUUUAUGUGUGUGUUUGUGUGUGUGUGAGACGUGUGCAAGUGUGUGCAUGGUGGGCAGCAGUCGAUUGGAAUGCAGAGGUCUUUCUUGCCUCUGACUUUUGACCCUGAGUUCCUUGGCUGACCCCCACACCCUGACCUGUUUUAAUCCACACUCCGCUGGAAGAGCUCAGACAAGGGAAGGAAGACAAGAAACAGCUGAUGUCCACAUGAUCCCAACUUCAUCUCCUGUUUCUGAAAACUAUGUCAAGAAUGCCGUGAUGGACAGAAUAACGAAGAAGACCACACGUGACAGCCCUGAGUGCAGAAGUUCAUAAAAAAUGCAUCCGAACUCCACUGACAGCGCACAGUCAUAGCCUAUUGCUAUAAUUUGUGACAUCUUCAUCAUGUACAUUGAAUAAGUACUGUGUGGAUUACUACCAAAAAUGAAUUAGAAGACAAUAGAAAGCUUAACCAUAACCAUGUGACUUUUGUUUCACCAUCCUCAUGAGAGCUUUUAUAUUUUAUGAACCACCGCAACGUGACAAGCGUGACACACUCUGUUGAAAAUGCUUUCAUUCAUUCAUGGCAUGGAGCACUCGAUGAAGUGUUGUCUUUGCACUCAUCGGUUUGAUCCUUUUCUUUUCUAAGAUAGGUAAAAGUCAAAGCAAGUCCAUCACUUGUGAUAAAUCUUGCCAGGUUUGUUCAUGCGGUAAGCCUGUGGUUGGGCUAAGUAUUGAGUAAAACGUGACUUUUUGGACAAUUGCAUUUACAGUUAAUUGCCAACUAAAGACCCCAAAGUAGACCCAAGGGGUAGGCCACAGACCUUAGACUUAACGGUUAUUAAAUCAGCAGGAUAAGCAGAACAAGACUGAGGUAACUUCUGAGACAAAUUUAUGUUCACUGCUAUUACAGCCGCUGUUUGACUCAAGUAAUGUUAGCCCAAAACGACUUUUCUACAUUCCUUUGUGUGUAUGUGUGUGCACGCAGGCAGGCUAAAGACAAUAAUAUUAAUCGUUCGAGCUUUUUAUGUAUUACGUACAAAAGGUCUCUUUCCCCCUAUGGCUGUCUGGCCUCAACUGAUUUAUCUCCUGCCAAAAUUUGGACUCAGUGAGGCUUUUUGUUGUUGAAAUGAUAUAUUUUAGCUGGAAAGAACACAAGGUUAUAGGAAAAGACUGUAUGAUAUUAUGCAAGAAAUGUGUGCUGGAUUCUAUCCUGACUGACUCUGGGUAAAAAAGGGCACAAACAACUCAUUUACGCUAAUUAUCACUGAACGGAAACUUUCGAAUAGGUAAACCACGACACGAUUGGUGACCGCAAGCAUAUCCAACAGUCUAAAUUUAUGGAUUACAACAUUAUGGUGUGGUAUGAUUAUGGUACUGUUUCCAAAAUAUCAGCGAAUAGUCAAAUAAAGUAUAUCCUGUAGUGGUACAAAAAUCAAUACAAUUUUACUUUGACUUGAGAACAAACUAAUUUGAGAUACUAGCGUUGGAAGGUUGCAACAUUUCAAGUUUAACACGAAGAUGGAAUGGUAAUGAAUAAAGGUUUCCAUAUGGGAGGUCUGUGUCCGGCACUAACAAGACAUUUCAGUUCAGCAGUGUGCGCCCUCGCUAUUGUGUAAACACCGCACCACGAGUUCCUGUCAUUGACCCAUGAAGUAAUUUACACAGUCUAAAUCUUCCCCUCCACACAACUCUAUGUUUCCCUCAUAAUAGCAAUUACAGUGAAAUAAAUGUGAGAGACUGCAGAGCCGUGCAGGAAUGCGGAUGAAUGGGUACCAGUGAGUACCACUGUUUUCAUAGCACGGUGGGCGCAUAUUUUCUUGAUUUUCACCCUGAAUUUCCCUCUGACAUGCCACAGAGCAGGUUGGUCCCAGGGGCGAGGUUGUUCCGGCCCGUGUCAGGUGUCCACCGGGGAGCUGUAAGCUGCAAUGCAAUAGGCGUCAGCUGCCUCAUUUACUGCCACUUAUUUUCUGGAAAUAGGUUCUGUUGGGGGCACAUGAUGUUUGGUAUGUUUGCUUUGCACAUGUGUGAGUAUAAAAUGACUGAGAAGUAUGUGUGCCUGAGUGAUAAACCUAUGCUGGGUCCAUAUUCAUGUUUUAUGAGCGUUUGUGGGUUCAAUAUUUGAGUUUUUUAUGAUUGUCUUUAGGUUUAAUUUGCUUUUACGCAAUAAAGGCUCUUGCGUCAAAGGUGUCA